rnacentral:rRNA from 1 species
GACGAACGCUGGCGGCGUGCCUAAUACAUGCAAGUAGAACGCUGAAGAGAGGAGCUUGCUCUUCUUGAAUGAGUUGCGAACGGGUGAGUAACGCGUAGGUAACCUGCCUUGUAGCGGGGGAUAACUAUUGGAAACGAUAGCUAAUACCGCAUAACAAUGGGUGACACAUGUCAUUUAUUUGAAAGGGGCAAUUGCUCCACUACAAGAUGGACCUGCGUUGUAUUAGCUAGUAGGUGAGGUAACGGCUCACCUAGGCGACGAUACAUAGCCGACCUGAGAGGGUGAUCGGCCACACUGGGACUGAGACACGGCCCAGACUCCUACGGGAGGCAGCAGUAGGGAAUCUUCGGCAAUGGGGGCAACCCUGACCGAGCAACGCCGCGUGAGUGAAGAAGGUUUUCGGAUCGUAAAGCUCUGUUGUAAGUCAAGAACGAGUGUGAGAGGGAAAGUUCAC